ensembl:lncRNA
AAAACAGCUUUUAUUAGGCUGCUGAUAUAACUGGAGUCCUCAUCUCAUGAGUGUACACGACUUAAAAUGUAGUUUUUAAAAAUAGCCAACUAUUCACAUUAUUUAUGUGCAACAUAUUUGUAAUGAAGAAAUUGUGCGUGCGUCUUUUUCAUGCACUGCACUGUAUAAAAACACUCGGUGACAGAUUGUAAGUUAUUUGUCGUUCACUCACUGCCCCCAAGCGGCGUUCAGGAGAAGUGCGCUUCGCAUUGACGGACAGCGAGAUGAAGUGGCAUCUUUCUCAGGUGUCCCGUGUCCUUGUGUGGUAUAUAGAUCGCUUGUACUCACCUCUGCUCAGAUGGGACCUCGCUCAUGGAGCGGUGACGCACUUACGACGCACAGUUUCCCAGCAUGCAGCAGGAGCUUUGGCUGAGGGCUCUUCUUGAUACCUGCGUGUGCAAUGAGAUCGGCCGCUGCGCAAACACUCCCGACUAGACCGUCCGAACAAGAGCUCAAAAAUGCCUUAUCCAACAGCGUCGCAGGACACAACCAUGUCUCCAACUCCAGCAGACCAGCAGCAGCACAGUGCAGAACAAAGACGUCCACAGACACUUUUAAUUGUAGUUCUUUGCAUCAUCAUGGCGAUAAUCAAGAAAAUGCAGAUAAAUGUGAUAUUGCCGAGGGCCCCUGGAAUCUGAACAACCGGGUGAAGGCCUCAAGGAACCAUCAGGAGCUUCGCAUGGAGCUGUUACAGGCCCACAAAAAAGGGCCGCUGGCGUGCUGUAAGCCGGAGCUUCAGAUGGUUCUGGAGAAGAGGAAGAGAGAGCAGACCCAGAGAGAGGAGGGAGAGCAGAGCAGGAGUCCUCUGGAGCAGGUGCUGCUCGAACGCCAGCACAAACAUCAGGAGAUGAUGAAGGAGAAGGAGGAGGAGCAGAGGCUACGUGAGGAGGUGCAGCUCUUGGAGUUCGUCCGAGUGAGACAGAACCUGAGGAAGGUCCGCACAGCUCUACAGAAGAGCCUUCACUCCUGAAUCUGACCAGCGCUGAUCUGACUAAACACAAAUACAGGACACGGUGUUUCAUUAUAUUCAUUAUUUUUGUUAUUAAACUUUUUCACAGUCUGUUACAGUACACUACUUUUCAUUGUGUUCUGUAAUAAUUAAAUAAUGUUUAAAAAACACAUCUUAAAACACCAUUAGCAAUUACUGAUAGGCCCUAAUACUGUAAAACUAUACAAAAUCAGCUGAAAUCAUUCUGUCAUUUUCUUUAACUUUUUUGUUGAGAGUGGAGGCCAGUUUUAUUGUAAAACCCGAAAUGUGAUUAAAUAAAAAACACAAUUCUACCA